rnacentral:rRNA from 1 species
AACGAACGCUGGCGGCAUGCCUAACACAUGCAAGUCGAACGAGAUCUUCGGAUCUAGUGGCGCACGGGUGCGUAACGCGUGGGAAUCUGCCCUUGGGUUCGGGAUAACAGUUGGAAACGACUGCUAAUACCGGAUGAUGACUUCGGUCCAAAGAUUUAUCGCCCAAGGAUGAGCCCGCGUAAGAUUAGCUUGUUGGUGAGGUAAAGGCUCACCAAGGCGACGAUCUUUAGCUGGUCUGAGAGGAUGAUCAGCCACACUGGGACUGAGACACGGCCCAGACUCCUACGGGAGGCAGCAGUGGGGAAUAUUGGACAAUGGGCGAAAGCCUGAUCCAGCAAUGCCGCGUGAGUGAUGAAGGCCUUAGGGUUGUAAAGCUCUUUUACCCGGGAUGAUAAUGGCAGUACCGGGGGAAUAAGCCCCGGCUAACUCCGUGCCAGCCGCCGCCGUAAGAC